rnacentral:rRNA from 1 species
ACAGAGGUCCCGAGCGUUGUUCGGAUUCACUGGGCGUAAAGGGUGCGUAGGUGGUGGAGUAAGUUUGAUGUGAAAUCUCCGGGCUUAACCCGGAAACUGCAUUGAAUACUAUUUUGCUGGAGGUUUGGAGGGGGGACUGGAAUUCUCGGUGUAGCAGUGAAAUGCGUAGAUAUCGAGAGGAACACCAGUGGCGAAGGCGAGUCCCUGGACAACACCUGACAUUGAGGCACGAAAGCUAGGGGAGCAAACAGGA